rnacentral:misc_RNA from 1 species
UUUCCGUAGGUGAACCUGCGGAAGGAUCAUUAUUGUAUAAUCGAGGUGCGAGGGCUGUCGCUGACCCGAAAGGUCGUGCACGCCCGAGUGCCCUCACACACAUCCAUCUCACCCCUAUGUGCACCACCGCGUGGGUCCCCCCUUGGCUUGUUCGGAGGGGGGCUUACGUUUUCACACAAACUUUGUAUGCAGUGUAGAAUGUAUUUUUUGUUUUUGCGAUCACGCAAUCAAUACAACUUUCAACAACGGAUCUCUUGGCUCUC